ACUUAGACUGGCUGUGUGACCAUGCAUGGAAAUAGAACCAAAUUUUUCCUCAGUCCCAUUCUCAAAUAUCUUAGUUCUGGUCUCAUAUAGUGUUUAUGAAAUCAGUUACUUUACAUGAUUUAUAUUAUAAUUCUUGUCCCAGAUCAUGUUUUAGUUAUAAAUUAUCAGUUCUGGUCCCAUUUGGUCCCGUUUGGUCCCAUUUUACAAAAUGGGACCAAACGGACCAUGAUUUACCCUAUAUAGAUUAGCAGCGAUAGAUUAGCAGCAAUAGAUAGAUUGGCAGUGGUAGAUAAAUUGGCAGCGAUAGAUAGGUUGGCAGCAGCAAUAAAUUAGCAGCGAUAGAUUCGCCGCGGUAGAUAGGUUGGCAGCGAUAGAUUAUAGCAGCGAGGCAUAGCUUAGCAGCGAGGGAGAGCUUAGCAAGAUUGGCAGC
rnacentral:sRNA from 1 species